GACGAACGCUGGCGGCGUGCUUAACACAUGCAAGUCGAACGGAAAGGCCCUGCUUUUGUGGGGUGCUCGAGUGGCGAACGGGUGAGUAACACGUGAGUAACCUGCCCUUGACUUUGGGAUAACUUCAGGAAACUGGGGCUAAUACCGGAUAGGAGCUCCUGCUGCAUGGUGGGGGUUGGAAAGUUUCGGCGGUUGGGGAUGGACUCGCGGCUUAUCAGCUUGUUGGUGGGGUAGUGGCUUACCAAGGCUUUGACGGGUAGCCGGCCUGAGAGGGUGACCGGCCACAUUGGGACUGAGAUACGGCCCAGACUUCUACGGGAGGCAGCAGUGGGGAAUAUUGCACAAUGGGCGGAAGCCUGAUGCAGCAACGCCGCGUGCGGGAUGACGGCCUUCGGGUUGUAAACCGCCUUCGCCUGUGACGAAGCGUGAGUGACGGUAAUGGGUAAAGAAGCACCGGCUAACUACGUG
rnacentral:rRNA from 1 species